UUAAUGAAGAGUUUGAUCCUGGCUCAGAACGAACGCUGGUGGCGUGUCUUAUACAUGCAAGUCGAGCGGUGCAGCAAUGCAUAGCGGCGAACGGGUGAGUAACG
rnacentral:rRNA from 1 species